CACACCGGGAGCGGCGGCACCGGAGCGGCCAUGAGCGAGCGCAGCCCCAAUGAGUCCCCCUCCGCGGCGGAGGCUCCCGGCGGGCAGGAGGAAGCCAAAGCCGGUGACCCCAAGAAGGUGGAGGAGGAGGAGAUCGACAUCGACCUGAGCGCCCCGGAGACGGAGAGAGCCGCGCUCGCCAUCCAGGGAAAAUUCCGCCGCUUCCAGAAGCAGAAGAAGGAAUCGGGGCCCUGAGCGGCCCCCGGGACCCCGCACCCGCGGCGGGCACCGGCUCCUGCCCCGUCCGUCCAACGCCAGCAGGGCCGAGGGGGGCUCAGCCCUUCCGUACCCCCGGGGUGACGCUGUGGGGGGGGACACAGGCGCGUCCCCCGGAGCGGAGGUGGCCCCUGGUGCGAGGGGACAGCGUGGAAGUGCCCUUUUCCCGGGGGAGCCUCCAUGUCCCUGUGGGUGCUGGGGACAAGGAAGGGGACACACACACCCCCCGGUGUCCCCCUGAGUGAGGGCAGCCCCUGUCCCACCCGCCACGGGAAACCGGCCCCCCCCCGCUUCUGUCAUCGUCAUUGUCACCGUCCCCACCCCGGGGGGGGGGGACUUGUAGCAUAUGAAGGAAUAAACCGGGAGAAGAGGAGCCCGAGCGGCGCGUGGUGUGUAGGGACAGACCCCCACUUCCCCCGUGGGUCCCUGCCGGGAACGGGGGAACAGGGAUAUGGGGAUAUGGCACUUCGAGAAUGGCUUCAUCCCGCCCGAAUCUCCCAUCACCCUCUCAUUUGGGGUUUAUCCCAUGAAAUUCCGCUUCAUUCCUCAGCCCCUGGAGCCGUGGCCUCAUUUCCCAGCGCGCUGCGGUGAUUAAAGAUGCUGCUGCUGCCCC
ensembl:lncRNA